rnacentral:rRNA from 1 species
GACGAACGCUGGCGGCGUGCUUAACACAUGCAAGUCGAACGGAAAGGCCCUGCUUUUGUGGGGUGCUCGAGUGGCGAACGGGUGAGUAACACGUGAGUAACCUGCCCUUGACUUUGGGAUAACUUCAGGAAACUGGGGCUAAUACCGGAUAGGAGCUCCUGCUGCAUGGUGGGGGUUGGAAAGUUUCGGCGGUUGGGGAUGGACUCGCGGCUUAUCAGCUUGUUGGUGGGGUAGUGGCUUACCAAGGCUUUGACGGGUAGCCGGCCUGAGAGGGUGACCGGCCACAUUGGGACUGAGAUACGGCCCAGACUCCUACGGGAGGCAGCAGUGGGGAAUAUUGCACAAUGGGCGGAAGCCUGAUGCAGCAACGCCGCGUGCGGGAUGACGGCCUUCGGGUUGUAAACCGCUUUCGCCUGUGACGAAGCGUGAGCGACGGUAAUGGGUAAAGAAGCACCAGCUAACUACGUG